rnacentral:rRNA from 1 species
GAUGAACGCUGGCGGCGUGCCUAAUACAUGCAAGUCGAGCGAACAGACGAGGGGCUUGCUCCUCUGACGUUAGCGGCGGACGGGUGAGUAACACGUGGAUAACCUACCUAUAAGACUGGGAUAACUUCGGGAAACCGGAGCUAAUACCGGAUAAUAUAUUGAACCGCAUGGUUCAAUAGUGAAAGACGGUUUUGCUGUCACUUAUAGAUGGAUCCGCGCCGCAUUAGCUAGUAGGUAAGGUAACGGCUUACCAAGGCGACGAUGCGUAGCCGACCUGAGAGGGUGAUCGGCCACACUGGAACUGAGACACGGUCCAGACUCCUACGGGAGGCAGCAGUAGGGAAUCUUCCGCAAUGGGCGAAAGCCUGACGGAGCAACGCCGCGUGAGUGAUGAAGGUCUUCGGAUCGUAAAACUCUGUUAUUAGGGAAGAACAAAUGUGUAAGUAACUAUGCACGUCUUGACGGUACCUAAUCAGAAAGCCACGGCUAACUACGUG